rnacentral:lncRNA from 1 species
CGACAUUCAUCAUGAGAUAAAUGUUUCACUGAGACUGUCUCACCCAACAUCGUCAGACUAAUGGCAGUUGCCCGCACUGAGUCCUGCUUUUGUUGGCAGCUGAAUACAUUCAUGGCGCAACCCUGCAGCAAGUGCUUCACACAGACAGCUGCUUGGUGAAGGUCCCAUUAUAUAUUGUCUUGAUAGCUUGAAGGGGAUGAUGCCGGUUUCAUAUCACUGGACUUAUCCAUGGCAGUAGAGUACAUCCAUGCACAGAGAAUCAUUCACCAGGAUAUAAAGCCAGCAAAUGUCAUGGUUCACCACCCUUCUAAGAAGGCAGUCCUGACAGACUGGGGCAUGGCAAACAUAAGAGACACUGUGAUGCUUCGUCAAGGGAGUAAGUUCACUGCCCAGGUUAUUGGUCCAGCUGGUGGCACAUAUCUUUACAUGGCUCCUGAAUGCAUACUGAUGUUUGAAGAGGCCUCGUUCCAGACAGACAUGUGGUCCCUCGGAGCCACAUAUCUGGAGAUCCUGACGGGUCCGCUCCGUGGACUGUUAAAAAACAAAGAGAACUGGCUGCACUAAUGGCCACCAAAACCCACCACAUGCCCUAUCACAUCUCAGUGACAAACACAGUUUUCUUGGUGGUUUGGUGAGCUAUGACCCAGACUCAAGGCCUUCCGCAUCUGAUGUUGUUAAGUUUCUCAAGUCAGGCCUUGAUCUUACAAGCCGAUAUGGCUACAAGUGGUAAUGUUGCUACAGUCUGCAGUUCAAAAGUCUUUCAAUGUUAAUUAUGUUAUACAUUAGGGUUAACAAAAGUUGUGUUAAAUGAAACACUGAAUCAUUAUGAAAGAUGGCACCUUGUCAAUUGUUUUUCAACAUUUUAUUGUACAUUUUGUUGGUCAGACAGUUUUCAAAUUACCUGUUGAUUGUAAACAAGGAUAAAUAAAUGUUAACAAACAAUGUUGUAUGAUUUUAUUGGUCAUUGGAAAUGUUUACUGGUGCACCUUCCAUCCUCUGUCUCUUCAGAAAGAUGUAUAUGUCAUUUGCCUCUGCAAACGUAGAAGGUGUAGGAACUGCAUUUCUGUU